GCGCAGGAAAAGAAACCAACAGGGAUUGCCUUAGUAACUGCGAGUGGAGCGGCAAAAGCUCAAAUUUGAAAUCUGGCGUCUUCGGCGUCCGAGUUGUAAUUUGGAGAGAUUUCUUCGGGGUGAACACCGGUCCAAGUUCCUUGGAACAGGACGUCACAGAGGGUGAGAAUCCCGUGUCUGACCGGUUGCUUCAUUCCAUGUGAAGAGUCUUCGACGAGUCGAGUUGUUUGGGAAUGCAGCUCAAAAUGGGUGGUUAAUUUCAUCUAAAGCUAAAUAUUGGCGAGAGACCGAUAGCGCACAAGUAGAGUGAUCGAAAGAUGAAAAGCACUUUGAAAAGAGAGUUAAAAAGUACGUGAAAUUGUUGAAAGGGAAGCGCUUGAGACCAGACUCAAUUUGUGGUGAACAUCAGUCCUUCUGGGCUGUGCACUUGCCACUUUUUGGGCCAGCAUCGGUUCUGACCGUGUGAUAAAGGUCCUGGGAAUGUAGCUCCUCUCGGGGAGUGUUAUAGCCCAGGGCGUAAUGACAUGAGUUGGGACCGAGGACCGCGCUUCGGCUAGGAUGCUGGCAUAAUGGUCUUCAGCGACCCGUCUUGAAACACGGACCAAGGAGUCUAACAUCUAUGCGAGUGUUCGGGUGGAAAACCCUUGCGCGUAAUGAAAGUGAACGGAGGUGGGAACCCCUCGGGGUGCAGCAUCGACCGAUCCUGAUGUUCUCGGAUGGAUUUGAAAUCGG
rnacentral:rRNA from 1 species